rnacentral:lncRNA from 1 species
GGGUGAUCUCCCUGUCCUUAUCUCAACCCUUGAACCCUUUUCAUUGUAUUUUUUCCCCCUUUCCCUUUGAGGAUGGGGAAGGAGAGAGCAUUUGUGGUGGAGCUCAGCUGCCCAGCUGAGUAAAACCACCACCACAUCUUCAAUUUUUGUCUUCACUCAUGACAGGAAGGGAGACCUUCUAUCUAUCACUGACUACCAACAAAUAGCACUGAAACAUUCUAAGACAGAAGAUGCUGUAAGAAGGAACUUCUGGAACAGUUUUGCUGGUUGCAUGGAUAUCUGUCAGCCAAAACUGUCUGCUGCUGCUGUUGUCAAACCUUCAAAAGCAAACAGCAUGAAAUAGAAGAUGUUCACAUUUAAGAGAUCUACCUUGAAGUCUGCCAAACUGAAUGGGGUAUUUUCCUGGAGGCGCCUUGUGAAUGAUGUAGACAGUUCAGCAAAAAAAAGCAACACAAAGCAGGAGCAAGUCAUAAUUGUUUUAUGUCUGCACUUCCCUGGCCCCUGUGUGAAUGAAGUUUGUACCAGGAAGCUGUGUCAGCAAAGGAAAAAACUGAUGUGACUGCAGCUCAUCUUUACCAAGCCUAUUGUAAAUUCUGGUAAUAGCAGCGUUAGGAUUUCAGAUACUCAUUUUAAAGGCAUGAAGAACAACUGCUCUCCCCAUUCUGUCCCUUUCCUUAUCUAACUGGAAGAUUCAGAUUCUCAGCUGAUAUAAACUGUUGCAGCAUCACAGAUAUGAGUGAAAUGUUUACUCCAUCUGAGUAUCUGAUUCACAGGCACUGAGUAAAGAACAAGAGAAAAAAGUUACCUCAUAGCACACUGGAAUAUUCAGAAUUUGCUGAUUUCAGCAGUCUAGCUGAAAGAGCAGAGAGAGUUAAGAGAGAGCAAAUAAUAUAAGCCAUUGCUUAAAUUUACAGUCACACAAAGUAGGGAAUUCUACCUAGAGACUCCAAACAUUGUUAAAAAAUAAAAACUCACUCUGCAAAGACGACUAUAUUAAA